rnacentral:lncRNA from 1 species
UAAUACACAAAGAAAUCAUAAUGACAUUCAACUUAGCCCGCCAUUAAACAACAGCUAUACCUCCAAGGGUUGGCUGAGAUUUAGCUAAUUAUAGUACUAAUGAUGAGACAAAAGAUUACAAAAAUAAAAGUAAAGAAAGACAACAUGGUUCUUCUGCUACACGGCUUCUUGAGUCCUUUCACUUCUUAUGAGAUCUUCAUUUGUAUUCCAAUAUCAUGUUGUUCUCUGGUGCCAGUCCAACACAAGCCCUCAAUAUGUUCUCAAGCAUUGCCCUCUGCUUUGAAAGGGCAUUCACCACUGGUGUACCUGGUGGUACCUGUUUACCAAUUCACAACAUACACAAACAUCAAAAACUGUUCUGUUCAUCUUAGUCUAAGACACCGCCUUUCAGGUUAUUAGAGUAGACAUAAUGAGAACCUCCCCUAGUGUUAUAUUAUGGUAUUGCCUAACCAAUUAACUGUUCAAGGAACACAUCUUUUGGUGAUAUUUUUACAGAAUGAAAUGAAGCUUCAAGAGAAUUUACCAGAGGAGCCUUGGUAAGAUAGCUGAGGAUGGUCGCCACGGGAUGGAAGGAGUGGAACUUACCCUGAAAAUCAGACAUGGUUCAUGUAAUUUAGAACAAAUCAACUUGUAAUUGCAACUAACUAUUUGUAAAUGCAUAAAAAGUCAGGGAUAAAGAAACAUACCUCUCCUUCAGCUUUAAGCUGAAUGCGGGUGCUGAGUUCAGCAAGGAGGACCAAAUCCAAGAUAAUUGGAGCAGCCAAAAGAGAAUCCUCACAGGUAUUGUGCAAUACAAUGGUGUUCCUUCCACCCAUGAAAAUCUCUGAUGUGUACUCAUCCAUUGCCCUCUUGCUAUCUCCCACAUAUGGUACAUACUGAGUCCCAUAAAUCCAAUGUUAGAACUAGUAUUGUGCCUUGUUGUAUUUUUUAAUUAGUAAUGUUAAAUGAUUUAGUAAUCAAUUACCUUAAUCACAACAACAUGGUCAGGGUGCUCUCCAGGCUCAUAAAGGAUGGCAUUACUAGAAACCAUGUCAUCGACAACAUUGCUUUUCGAGAUCUCCUUUGAGCGGAAAGUCUGAGGGGCCGACAGAUUCAUUCCAUC